rnacentral:tRNA from 1 species
GCCUGGGUGGCUCAGUCGGUUGAGUGACUGACUUCGGCUCAGGUCAUGCAUGAUCUAGCGGUCCGUGAGUUCGAGCCCCGCAUCAGGCU